UACGUAGGGUGCAAGCGUUGUCCGGAAUUAUUGGGCGUAAAGGGCUCGUAGGCGGUCCGUCACGUCGGGAGUGAAAACUUGGGGCUUAACCCCAAGCCUGCUUCCGAUACGGGCAGACUAGAGUUCGGUAGGGGAGUCUGGAAUUCCUGGUGUAGCGGUGAAAUGCGCAGAUAUCAGGAGGAACACCGGUGGCGAAGGCGGGACUCUGGGCCGAUACUGACGCUGAGGAGCGAAAGCGUGGGGAGCAAACAGG
rnacentral:rRNA from 1 species